AGAACUUAGCAGAGAUGCUUUGGUGCCCUUUCGGGGAACUCUGAGACAGGUGCUGCAUGGCUGUCGUCAGCUCGUGUUGUGAAAUGUUGGGUUAAGUCCCGCAACGAGCGCAACCCUUAUCCUUUGUUGCCAGCGGUUAGGCCGGGAACUCAAAGGAGACUGCCAGUGAUAAACUGGAGGAAGGUGGGGAUGACGUCAAGUCAUCAUGGCCCUUACGAGUAGGGCUACACACGUGCUACAAUGGCGCAUACAAAGAGAAGCGACCUCGCGAGAGCAAGCGGACCUCAUAAAGUGCGUCGUAGUCCGGAUUGGAGUCUGCAACUCGACUCCAUGAAGUCGGAAUCGCUAGUAAUCGUGGAUCAGAAUGCCACGGUGAAUACGUUCCCGGGCCUUGUACACACCGCCCGUCACACCAUGGGAGUGGGUUGCAAAAGAAGUAGGUAGCUUAACCUUCGGGAGGGCGCUUACCACUUUGUGAUUCAUGACUGGGGUGAAGUCGUAACAAGGUAGGCGUAGUGCU
rnacentral:rRNA from 1 species